rnacentral:other from 1 species
AUUUCUCUGAGGUGUUUGUCUGCGUGUCAGUCCCCUGAGCCGAUAUUUCAAACCAACAGAAUGUAACGCUCCGCAGCCGGUGAGCAUGCUCGGUUCGUCCGAGAAGCCUUAAGGUUGCGACGGUAUGUUCACCUUGAACCAAGGGUUCAAGGUUACCACCUGCGGCGGCAUCUCGGAGAUCCC